GGAGGGUUGUCCGAGCGGCCUAUGGUGACGGUCUUGAAAACCGUUGCUCUCGCAAGAGAGCCGUGGGUUCGAAUCCCACACCCUCCG
rnacentral:tRNA from 1 species